AUUUAACUGACGAAUCCCAACUAGGAUGAAACGCAUGUCAAACUGAAU
rfam:Schistosoma mattheei strain Denwood, Zambia genome assembly, scaffold: SMTD_scaffold0012700